UGUUGCUUGCAAGGGCGUAUGGUGGAUGCCUUGGCAGACAGGACCGAUGAAGGACGUUUGAGGCUGCGAUAUGCCUCGGGGAGCCGCCAACAGGGCUUUGAUCCGAGGAUUUCCGAAUGGGGGAACCCACCGACCGUCAUGGGUCGGUACCGGCUUCGGCCGGGGGGUACGCAGGGAAGUGAAACAUCUCAGUACCUGCAGGAAAGGAUAUUCCGUGAGUAGUGGCGAGCGAAAGCGGAUGAUGGCCAAACCUUGCGCGUGUGAUACCCGUCGGGGGUUGCGCGCGGGGUGUUGCGGGAUCGCGUGCGCCGGCUCCGACGGGCCGGCCGGCAGUUGCAGAAAACCAUGUGUCAGGGGAACCGGGUUGAAUACCGGGCCGCAGAGGGUGAGGGCCCCGUACCUGAACGCGCAUGGUCUGCCGAUCGCGUCUCCCAAGUAGCACGGGUCCCGUGGAACCCCGUGCGAAUCCGCCCAGACCGUUGGGUAAGCCUGAAUAUUCCUGUCUGACCGAUAGCGAACGAGUACCGUGAGGGAAAGGUGAAAAGUACCCCGGGAGGGGAGUGAAACAGUCUCUGAAACCGUGCGCCUACAAUCCGUCGGAGCCCUUUUGUGGGGUGACGGCGUGCCUAUCGAAAAAUGAGUCUGCGAGUCAGUGGCAUGUGGCGAGCAUAACCCGUGUGGGGUAUGCGUAGCGAAGGCGAGUCUUAAAAGGCGUUUGAGUCGCGUGUCCUGGACCCGAAGCGGGAUGAUCUAGCCCUGAGCAGGUUGAAGCGCGGGUAAGACCGCGUGGAGGACCGAACCCACCUGGGUUGAAAACCGGGGGGAUGACUUGGGGCUAGGGGUGAAAGGCCAAUCAAAUUCCGUGAUAGCUGGUUCUCUCCGAAAUGCAUUUGGGUGCAGCGUCGGGUCAUUACGUCCCGGGGGUAGAGCUACUGGAUGCUUGCGGGCCCGUAUCGGGUACCAACAGCAACCAAACUCCGAAUACCGGUGACGCGUAUCCCGGCAGUGAGUCGGCGGGGGAUAAGCUUCGUCGUCGAAAGGGAAACAGCCCAGACCGUCGUCUAAGGUCCCGAAGCGUGUGCUAAGUGGGAAAGGAUGUGGAGUCGCAUAGACAGCCAGGAGGUUGGCUCAGAAGCAGCCACCCUUGAAAGAGUGCGUAACAGCUCACUGGUCUAGUGGUUCCGCGCCGACAAUGUAGCGGGGCUCAAGCACACCACCGAAGACGCGGCAGUAUUUUGUACUGGGUAGGAGAGCGUCCCAUGAGGGGCGAAGCGGCCGUGUGAACGCGCCGUGGACUUCAUGGGAGUGAGAAUGCAGACAUGAGUAGCGAGAGACGGGUGAAGAUCCCGUCCGCUGGAUGACCAAGGGUUCCAGGGCCACGUUCAUCGUCCCUGGGUGAGUCGGGUCCUAAGGCGAGGCCGACAGGCGUAGUCGAAUGGAUGAACGGGUCGAUAUUCCCGUACCGGCUUUCAGCCGCCAAAACCGAGGCUUGGAGUACUAACCUCCGGGUCCGGGCUUACUGCUCCUUCGGGGGCGGGAUGCCCUGGCCUGUUGGGACCGAUCCUUGUAGUAGGUCAGCGCAGGAGUGACGCAGAAGGGUAGCCGGCCGCGGAGGUGGUCUUCCGUGGUCAAGCACGCAGGGCGUGGGACAGGCAAAUCCGUCCCGCAUGGGUCCGAGGUGCGAUGAUGGGGGCCUUAUGGCCCGAUAUCCGGUGAUCCCGGCUGCCGAGAAAAGCUUCGGCGUCAGGCUCAAAGCCGCCCGUACCCCAAACCGACACUGGUGGUCAGGUAGAGAAUACCAAAGCGAUCGAGCGAAUCCUGGUCAAGGAACUCGGCAAAUCACUCCCGUUCCUUCGGUUUAAGGGAGACCCCCGAUGGUGAACACACUUGCUGUGGGAGCUUUUGGGGGUGGCACAGACCAGGGGGUAGCGACUGUUUACCAAAAACACAGGUGCAUGCGAAGGCGCAAGCCGCUGUAUAUGCACUGACGCCUGCCCGGUGCCGGAAGGUUAAGAGGAUCCGUCAGCCUUCGGGUGAAGCGGUGAAUUCAAGCCCCGGUAAACGGCGGUGGUAACUAUAACCAUCCUAAGGUAGCGAAAUUCCUUGUCGGGUAAGUUCCGACCUGCACGAAUGGCGUAACGACUUCCCCACUGUCUCGACCAGGAGCUCGGCGAAAUUGCAGUACGAGUAAAGAUGCUCGUUAAGCGCAGAAGGACGAAAAGACCCCGGGACCUUUACUAUACCUUGGUAUUGGCAUUCGGUGUGGAUUGUGUAGCAUAGGCGGGAGGCCGAGAGGCGCGGUCGCCAGAUCGCGCGGAGCCGUAAGGUGAAAUACCGCUCUGUUCGCAUUGGAUGUCUAACCUCGAACAGUCAUCCUGUUCAGGGACAGUGCCUGGCGGGUAGUUUAACUGGGGCGGUUGCCUCCCAAAGAGUAACGGAGGCGCCCAAAGGUCCG
rnacentral:rRNA from 1 species